UGGCGGCAGCUACCAUGCAGUCGAGCGGAGCGAGUUAUCUGAACCUUCGGGGGACGAUAACGGCGUCGAGCGGCGGACGGGUGAGUAAUGCCUAGGAAAUUGCCCUGAUGUGGGGGAUAACCAUUGGAAACGAUGGCUAAUACCGCAUGAUGCCUACGGGCCAAAGAGGGGGACCUUCGGGCCUCUCGCGUCAGGAUAUGCCUAGGUGGGAUUAGCUAGUUGGUGAGGUAAUGGCUCACCAAGGCGACGAUCCCUAGCUGGUCUGAGAGGAUGAUCAGCCACACUGGAACUGAGACACGGUCCAGACUCCUACGGGAGGCAGCAGUGGGGAAUAUUGCACAAUGGGCGCAAGCCUGAUGCAGCCAUGCCGCGUGUGUGAAGAAGGCCUUCGGGUUGUAAAGCACUUUCAGUCGUGAGGAAGGUAGUGUAGUUAAUAGCUGCAUUAUUUGACGUUAGCGACAGAAGAAGCACCGGCUAACUCCGUGCCAGCAGCCGCGGUAAUACGGAGGGUGCGAGCGUUAAUCGGAAUUACUGGGCGUAAAGCGCAUGCAGGUGGUUUGUUAAGUCAGAUGUGAAAGCCCGGGGCUCAACCUCGGAAUUGCAUUUGAAACUGGCAGACUAGAGUACUGUAGAGGGGGGUAGAAUUUCAGGUGUAGCGGUGAAAUGCGUAGAGAUCUGAAGGAAUACCGGUGGCGAAGGCGGCCCCCUGGACAGAUACUGACACUCAGAUGCGAAAGCGUGGGGAGCAAACAGGAUUAGAUACCUUGGUAGUCCACGCCGUAAACGAUGUCUACUUGGAGGUUGUGGCCUUGA
rnacentral:rRNA from 1 species